GUGAUGUUAGUAUAAUGGUUAGUACCACGGAUUGUGAUUCCGUUGAUAUGAGUUCAAUUCUCAUACGUCACCCCA
rnacentral:tRNA from 1 species